GGAAUUGUUCGCAAUGGGCGCAAGCCUGACGACGCAACGCCGCGUGGAGGAUGAAGAUCUUCGGGUCGUAAACUCCUUUCGACCGAGAUGAAUUCCCGCCGACCUAACACGUCGGCGGGGUGACCGUAUCGGGAGAAGAAGCCCCGGCUAACUCCGUGCCAGCAGCCGCGGUAAUACGGGGGGGGCAAGCGUUGUUCGGAAUUACUGGGCGUAAAGGGUUCGUAGGUGGCUGGUUAAGUCAGACGUGAAAUCCCUCAGCUCAACUGGGGAACUGCGUCUGAGACUGAUCAGCUCGAGUGCGGGAGAGGAACGCGGAAUUCCAGGUGUAGCGGUGAAAUGCGUAGAUAUCUGGAGGAACACCGGUGGCGAAGGCGGCGUUCUGGACUGCAACUGACACUGAGGAACGAAAGCCAGGGGAGCAAAC
rnacentral:rRNA from 1 species